CAGUUCCCCAAUUGGAGGCAGUGGUGGUGGGUUUCUCCCCUCAACUCUUGAGUAUUAUAAUAUUAUUACUAUUCAACUAACAGUGAUCAAUGGAGCCCACCAACUCUUAAAAUUUGGGUCUGUGAGGAGUUAUCCCUUCAACUUUUGAGUAGUAUUAUUAGUAUUCAGCUAAUAGCAAUAUUUACAAAAGCCACCAACCGCUAAUUUGGGGUUGUUCCACCAGCUUUGACUUAUUAUUAUUUGGCUAAUAGCAAUAUUUCUGAAAGUCAUGGAUUACUAAAUUUGAAUUUGUGAGGGGUUGUUUCCUCAGCUUCAACUAUUAUUAUUUAUACUCAAACAAUAGCGGUAUUUACCAAAGCCACUCACUCCUAAUUUGGACCUGUGAGGUAUUAUCUGUUCAGCUCUGACAAUAAUUACUAUUAUUUAUGAAAGUUAUCGAUUCCUAAAUUUGGAUCUUUUGAGGAUGCAUCUCCUCAGCUCUGGGUCUCCUUCAAAUACUUAAAUCCAAAGGUUCUUAAUUGAAGAUCUGUGAGGGGUUAUCCCAUCAGCUUUGAUUAUUAUUUAUAUCCAAGCAAUAGCAAUAUUUAUGAAAACCACCAACUCCUCAAUUGGCACCUGUGAGGAGUUAUCCCCUGAACUGUGGCGGAUUCUUCUUCAUCAACUAAUAUUUUAGACAGCCACCAAUUCUUAAUUUGGAUCUGCAAAGGAUUAUCCCAAAUUGUCAGGUUAUGCCAAUAUUGGGCUCAUUGGACAGAAUAUAAAACAGAAUUUUAAACUCCUUUUUAGUCCAAUGCUUACGAUUUGGGACAAAAAUAAAGCAGUUUUUUCCCUGUAUGAUUUUCUGUGCAGAAAAAAGCCUCACUUGCCAUCGUGAUUCACCUGUCGGGUUGGGAUUGGGAAGAGCCAGGUUGAAGUUCAGCAGCCCAACCUUCUCUUUAGUCCAAUCCUGGGCAGGCAAAUCUGAAUAAGUCCAAACUGUGAAAACUUCUGAUGAGAAACAGGUGCACCCUGAUCUAUACUGCCAAAGUGAUAACUUGACAACCGAAUUCAGCAGAAGAGUCAGAGAUGUGGCAUGGUCAUUCAGAUUUCUGUAGGGUGGAUGCACAUGCUACUCUAGUGUUGUAUGUUGAAUACAGCCCCUGUAUGAGGAGAUCCUGCUUUUUAGGGUAUGUGAGUCUUGCCCUUCACGUUCACAGCUGGAUCCCAGGUCACGACAGUGAGAGAAAAAUCCUUUAUUAGAAUGACUUUUUCUUUGGAUCGCUUUUGACAUUUGCACAGGCAGUUUCUUUUUAUAUAUCUCCUGCAAAUUACAUAUAUCAGCUGAUUAUUAUGUUUUUUUGCUUUGUUUUCUUUCAAGUUAAAGGACUGUGUUGUUUGGGUGGAAAACAAUUACAGAAAUACUGAAUUAAGCUUGCCACCUGGUUAGGAACUGGAAGAUAACCCUAAUUUGAGUUUGCUUUUUCAUUUUCAGAAUCUGUUUCAGUUGUAUCUUCCUCAGUGCAUCUCAGUAAGGUCCAAGCUAAGAUUUCUCCUGUGCAACAGACAGUCUGAACUUUUUAAAGAAAAGAAUAGAAAAUCAAGCCAAGAGAGCAAUCCAACUAUGGAAAUCACCAAUAGGAGCAGUUUCUUCUUAAAGAAGACGGCAAAGAAGAAAAUUAUUGUGCACAAUAUUGUGUUGAUGCAAAGAUUAAUAAUAAAACGCAUGAAAAGUG